AGUGAACGCUGGCGGUAGGCCUAACACAUGCAAGUCGAACGGCAGCACAGUAAGAGCUUGCUCUUACGGGUGGCGAGUGGCGGACGGGUGAGGAAUACAUCGGAAUCUACUUUUUCGUGGGGGAUAACGUAGGGAAACUUGCGCUAAUACCGCAUACGACCUACGGGUGAAAGCAGGGGAUCUUCGGACCUUGCGCGAUUGAAUGAGCCGAUGUCGGAUUAGCUAGUUGGCGGGGUAAAGGCCCACCAAGGCGACGAUCCGUAGCUGGUCUGAGAGGAUGAUCAGCCACACUGGAACUGAGACACGGUCCAGACUCCUACGGGAGGCAGCAGUGGGGAAUAUUGGACAAUGGGCGCAAGCCUGAUCCAGCCAUACCGCGUGGGUGAAGAAGGCCUUCGGGUUGUAAAGCCCUUUUGUUGGGAAAGAAAAGCAGCAGGUUAAUACCCCGCUGUUCUGACGGUACCCAAAGAAUAAGCACCGGCUAACCUCGUG
rnacentral:rRNA from 1 species